UACGUAGGGUGCGAGCGUUGUCCGGAAUUAUUGGGCGUAAAGGGCUCGUAGGCGGUCUGUCGCGUCGGGAGUGAAAACUCAGGGCUUAACCCUGAGCCUGCUUCCGAUACGGGCAGACUAGAGGUAUGCAGGGGAGAACGGAAUUCCUGGUGUAGCGGUGGAAUGCGCAGAUAUCAGGAGGAACACCGGUGGCGAAGGCGGGUCUCUGGGCCAUAACUGACGCUGAGGAGCGAAAGCGUGGGGAGCGAACAGG
rnacentral:rRNA from 1 species